rnacentral:rRNA from 1 species
AGGAUCACGUGAGAAACCUGCCCCAGACUUUGGGAUAACAGUUGGAAACGACUGCUAAUACCGAAUGACGUCGGAGAACCGCAUGGUUCACUGACGAAAGGAAAUCCGGUUUGGGAGGGUCUCGCGGCCUAUCAGCUAGUUGGCGGGGUAAUAGCCCACCAAGGCGACGAUCCGUAGCUGGUCUGAGAGGAUGAUCAGCCACACUGGGACUGAGACACGGCCCAGACUCC